rnacentral:rRNA from 1 species
UACGUAGGUCCCGAGCGUUGUCCGGAUUUAUUGGGCGUAAAGCGAGCGCAGGUGGUUUAUUAAGUCUGGUGUAAAAGGCAGUGGCUCAACCAUUGUAUGCAUUGGAAACUGGUAGACUUGAGUGCAGGAGAGGAGAGUGGAAUUCCGUGUGUAGCGGUGAAAUGCGUAGAUAUAUGGAGGAACACCGGUGGCGAAAGCGGCUCUCUGGCCUGUAACUGACACUGAGGCUCGAAAGCGUGGGGAGCAAACAGG